rnacentral:rRNA from 1 species
CCUUCUGGACUGACACUGACACUGAGGUGCGAAAGCGUGGGUAGCAAACAGGAUUAGAUACCCUGGUAGUCCACGCCGUAAACGAUGUCGACUAGCCGUUGGGUCCCUUGAGGACUUUGUGGCGCAGUUAACGCGAUAAGUCGACCGCCUGGGGAGUACGGCCGCAAGGUUAAAACUCAAAUGAAUUGACGGGGGCCCGCACAAGCGGUGGAGCAUGUGGUUUAAUUCGAUGCAACGCGAAGAACCUUACCUACCCUUGACAUCGUGCGAACUUGGUAGAGAUACCUUGGUGCCUUCGGGAGCGCACAGACAGGUGCUGCAUGGCUGUCGUCAGCUCGUGUUGUGAAAUGUUGG